rnacentral:rRNA from 1 species
CAGUCGCCACGGUAAUACGAGGGGGGCAAGCGUUGUUCGGAAUUAUUGGGCGUAAAGGGUGCGUAGGCGGUUUGGCAAGUCUUGUGUGAAAUCUUCGGGCUCAACCCGAAGCCUGCACGAGAAACUGCCGGGCUUGAGUAUUGGAGAGGUGAGUGGAAUUUCCGGUGUAGCGGUGAAAUGCGUAGAUAUCGGAAGGAACACCUGUGGCGAAAGCGGCUCACUGGACAAUAACUGACGCUGAUGCACGAAAGCUAGGGGAGCAAACAGGAUUAGAGACCCCCGUAGUCCCUGUCUCUUAUAC